AUGCUCUCUUUGGCAGCACAUAAACUAAAAUUGGAAUGAUACAGAGAAGAUUAGCAUGUCCCCUGCACAGGAUGAUACACAAAUUCGUGAAGCAUUUCAUAAAAGA